rnacentral:rRNA from 1 species
UUGAACGCUGGCGGUAUGCUUAACACAUGCAAGUCGAACGGAAACGAUACUAGCUUGCUAGUAGGCGUCGAGUGGCGGACGGGUGAGUAACGCGUAGGAAUCUGCCUGAUAGUGGGGGAUAGCCCGAAGAAAUUCGGAUUAAUACCGCAUAAUCUAUUCGUAGUAAAGUGGGGGACUUUCGAGCCUCACGCUAUCAGAUGAGCCUGCGUAAGAUUAGCUUGUUGGUAGGGUAAAAGCCUACCAAGGCGACGAUCUUUAGCUGGUCUGAGAGGAUGAUCAGCCACAUCGGGACUGAGACACGGCCCGAACUCCUACGGGAGGCAGCAGUGGGGAAUAUUGGACAAUGGGGGCAACCCUGAUCCAGCAAUACCGCGUGUGUGAAGAGGGCCUGAGGGUUGUAAAGCACUUUCAAUUGUGAAGAAAAGUUAGCGGUUAAUAACCGUUAGCCUUGACGUUAACUUUAGAAGAAGCACCGGCUAACUCCGUGCCAGCAGCCGCGGUAAUACGGAGGGUGCAAGCGUUAAUCGGAAUUACUGGGCGUAAAGCGUGCGUAGGCGGUUUAUUAAGUCAGAUGUGAAAGCCCCGGGCUUAACCUGGGAACUGCAUUUGAAACUGGUCAACUAGAGUAUGGUAGAGGAAAGUGGAAUUUCUGGUGUAGCGGUGAAAUGCGUAGAUAUCAGAAGGAACAUCAAUGGCGAAGGCAGCUUUCUGGACCAAUACUGACGCUGAGGUACGAAAGCGUGGGUAGCAAGCAGGAUUAGAUACCCUGGUAGUCCACGCCGUAAACGAUGAUAACUAGCCGUUGGGGGGAUUUACCCUUUAGUGGCGAAGCUAACGCGUUAAGUUAUCCGCCUGGGGAGUACGGCCGCAAGGUUAAAACUCAAAGGAAUUGACGGGGACCCGCACAAGCGGUGGAGCAUGUGGUUUAAUUCGAUGCAACGCGAAGAACCUUACCUGGUCUUGACAUCCUGCGAACUUUCUAGAAAUAGAUUGGUGCCUUCGGGAACGCAGUGACAGGUGCUGCAUGGCUGUCGUCAGCUCGUGUCGUGAGAUGUUGGGUUAAGUCCCGUAACGAGCGCAACCCCUAUCCUUAUUUGCCAGCACGUCAUGGUGGGAACUAUAAGGAGACUGCCGGUGAUAAACCGGAGGAAGGCGGGGACGACGUCAAGUCAUCAUGGCCCUUACGACCAGGGCUACACACGUGCUACAAUGGGAAGGACAAAGAGCCGCGAAGCCGCGAGGUGUAGCUAAUCUCAUAAACCUUUUCGUAGUCCGGAUUGGAGUCUGCAACUCGACUCCAUGAAGUCGGAAUCGCUAGUAAUCGUAGAUCAGAAUGCUACGGUGAAUACGUUCCCGGGUCUUGUACACACCGCCCGUC